rnacentral:rRNA from 1 species
UGGGGAAUAUUGCACAAUGGGCGCAAGCCUGAUGCAGCCAUGCCGCGUGUAUGAAGAAGGCCUUCGGGUUGUAAAGUACUUUCAGCGGGGAGGAAGGGAGUAAAGUUAAUACCUUUGCUCAUUGACGUUACCCGCAGAAGAAGCACCGGCUAACUCCGUGCCAGCAGCCGCGGUAAUACGGAGGGUGCAAGCGUUAAUCGGAAUUACUGGGCGUAAAGCGCACGCAGGCGGUUUGUUAAGUCAGAUGUGAAAUCCCCGGGCUCAACCUGGGAACUGCAUCUGAUACUGGCAAGCUUGAGUCUCGUAGAGGGGGGUAGAAUUCCAGGUGUAGCGGUGAAAUGCGUAGAGAUCUGGAGGAAUACCGGUGGCGAAGGCGGCCCCCUGGACGAAGACUGACGCUCAGGUGCGAAAGCGGGGGGAGCUAACAGG